UCACCCUCCCUGAGUUUGACAGUUCCUCAUCCAGCACCCAGUGGGACAGGAUGGUGCUAAAGGUCCCACAUUGGAACCUCGCUAGUUGCCGUGAUUUGAGUGUCUUACAUGGAGCCAUUGCUACGUGGCAUAAGGAGAAUCCCCGGGUGGGUCUUCGGAAAAUUCUUCUCUGAGGGGCAGAGAAAACACUUCCUCUAGACAGCAAUGCUGGCGAUCCAUGACCCCCUGCUGUGUGUCAGCCAGUCUGGGCUGCUCCUCACAUACUCCAUCCUGGGGGAAGUCCAGCAACUGAUGGGGGACAAGCUGGAGGAUGUCACAG